GGACUCCGUACGGGAGGCAGCAGUGGGGAAUCUUGCGCAAUGGGGGGAACCCUGACGCAGCGACGCCGCGUGCGGGACGGAGGCCUUCGGGUCGUAAACCGCUUUCAGCAGGGAAGAGUCAAGACUGUACCUGCAGAAGAAGCCCCGGCUAACUACGUGC
rnacentral:rRNA from 1 species